rnacentral:rRNA from 1 species
CGUAGGGUGCGAGCGUUAAUCGGAAUUACUGGGCGUAAAGCGUGCGCAGGCGGUUUGUUAAGAUAGGCGUGAAAUCCCCGGGCUCAACCUGGGAACUGCGCUUAUGACUGGCAAGCUAGAGUACGGCAGAGGGGGGUGGAAUUCCACGUGUAACAGUGAAAUGCGUAGAGAUGUGGAGGAACACCAAUGGCGAAGGCAGCCCCCUGGGUCGAUACUGACGCUCAUGCACGAAAGCGUGGGUAGCAAACAGGAUUAGAUACCCUGGUAGUCCACGCCCUAAACGAUGUCAACUAGGUGUUGGGAGGGUAAAACCUUUUAGUACCGGAGCUAACGCGUGAAGUUGACCGCCUGGGGAGUACGGCCGCAAGGUUA